rnacentral:rRNA from 1 species
UACGAAGGGGGCUAGCGUUGUUCGGAAUUACUGGGCGUAAAGCGCACGUAGGCGGAUUUGUAAGUCAGGGGUGAAAUCCUGGAGCCUCAACUCCAGAACUGCCUUUGAUACUGAAGAUCUUGAGUUCGGGAGAGGUGAGUGGAACUGCGAGUGUAGAGGUGAAAUUCGUAGAUAUUCGCAAGAACACCAGUGGCGAAGGCGGCUCACUGGCCCGAUACUGACGCUGAGGCACGAAAGCGUGGGGAGGCCAAACAGGAUUAGCAA